GACGAACGCUGGCGGCGUGCCUAACACAUGCAAGUCGAACGGAAGUAAGUGCUUCGGUAUUUACUUUAGUGGCGAACGGGUGAGUAACGCGUGAGGAACCUGCCUUUCAGUGGGGGACAACAGUUGGAAACGACUGCUAAUACCGCAUGACGCUUCUUGGGGGCAUCCCUGAGAAGUCAAAGCUUUAUGUGCUGAAAGAUGGCCUCGCGUCUGAUUAGCUAGUUGGUGGGGUAACGGCCCACCAAGGCGACGAUCCGUAGCUGGUUUGAGAGGACGACCAGCCACACUGGGACUGAGACACGGCCCAG
rnacentral:rRNA from 1 species